AUGGCUGCAAAAGCGAUCGCGAGUCCUAUCACUGAUUCGUUGUACCCUACACUCUCCGUUUUCACACUCGCAAUCGGUCUCAUCUUAACCGCUUCUUUCUUCAUUUAUGAAGCAACCUCAUCUAGGAAAACCCGUUCCCUUGCCCAGGAGCUGAUAACAGGGGCAGUUGCAUCAGUCUUCUUGGGUUUUGGGUCGUUGUUCCUCCUACUUGCUAGCGGCGUCUAUGUCUAA